rnacentral:rRNA from 1 species
GAGGUAAUGAUUAAUAGGAACAGACGGGGGCAUUCGUAUUGCGGCGUCAGAGGUGAAAUUCUGGAUCGUCGCAAAGACGCACUACUGCGAAAGC